CUUGAGGGCUGGCACUGCAGGCCAAAGAAAAAUCAGCAAGUGUGAACCGGGUGGCGGUAGAGGUAGGUAUCCCACAAAAGAUACCUACACCCUCGGGGGCUGGGGAGUCCCAGGCCCAGCGGAAACGCGAUUCCCCAAGGGCAAGAGGACCUGUGCAUAAACCCAUAAGGGCGACCAAUGCCCCGAGCCGGGCACUGUAGGACCGUCCCGUCCCCGACCUAACGUGGGUCUCUGGGGUUGCGGCAGAAGAAUCCUCCCUGCUUGUGAGUACUUCCGAGGGCUGGAAGUGCGGGACAUCCAGCUCGCUGCCCUCGCCACGCUUGCAGCUGCUGCGGGGUGGGUGGCGCAUCAGCCCCACCCGAAUCCCCGCCGGCAGGGCCGCCAGGGCCCAGGGGAUUCGGCACAGCCUGGACAGCCUUUUUUGUUCUGUUCAGGACGAAUCGAUUCCGACAAAAAGUUAGAUGAUUGAGAGGAUGGAUGUCUUCGCAUCAGUAAAGUAUGCAUUUUGCUGGGACCCGGAAAAAUGAAGGAAACAGUGGAACUAGAGAAGCAAAUACUAGAGAAGCAUCGGCUUUACGCAGUGGAUUUGCGCGUCGCGACUUGGAGCCCGUGCGCCCACAAGAUGGAGAAACGCUGCCCAGAAACUCAACCGUGUUACGGCUGUCUACGCGUUUGCGAUCUGUAGGCAGUGCCACAGGGCGCAACAUUCUGUAAAAAGCAGGGAAACGUCAGUGAAGCACAUUUCCUAGGUUUCUUUCGCCUUGGGUUAGGAACUGGAGUUUGGGGCAGCGUUCUUACCCAUCUCCGGAUCUGUGGAACCCGGAGAAACUCCAGUCCCGGCGGGUUGCUUUGGCUGAAAAUCGGGGUGGGGAACAGGCUCAUUGAAAGAAUAUAGCCUUGGUAGCUAUUAGAAGGGAACCUGCAGGCCUCCUGAGCAGCGGGGCCUUCGAUAGCUCAGUUGGUAGAGCGGAGGACUGUAGUGGAAAUCCUGUGGCAAUCCUUAGGUCGCUGGUUCGAUUCCGGCUCGAAGGACUUCGUGUCGUUUUUUUUUUUAACCCCAAUUUAGUUCGAUUGCAUAUGGCUUCCAAGGUCGGCAAUGACUUCGGUUUGGUACUUUGACUUCGGUUUGGUACUUCGGAUAUCGGGUAAGACCGGCAGUGUUGGUGUACAGUACAGCUCGGUUAAGCGUCACAUACUAAUUAAUAUCGACGUGUGCCUCAAAGUAGAACUUUAUUCUUUAUGUGUAAUUAUUAUAUGCCU
rnacentral:tRNA from 1 species